rnacentral:rRNA from 1 species
CACCAGACUCCUACGGGAGGCAGCAGUGGGGGAUAUUGCACAAUGGGGGGAACCCUGAUGCAGCGACGCCGCGUGAGUGAAGAAGUAUUUCGGUAUGUAAAGCUCUAUCAGCAGGGAAGAAAGAGACGAAAGUCUUGUGACAGUACCUGACUAAGAAGCCCCGGCUAACUACGUGCCAGCAGCCGCGGUAAUACGUAGGGGGCAAGCGUUAUCCGGAUUUAUUGGGUGUAGAGGGUGCGUAGACGGGAUAAUAAGUUAGUUGUGAAAUCCCUCGGCUCAACUGAGGAACUGCAACUAAAACUGUUAUUCUUGAGUGUUGGAGAGGAAAGCGGAAUUCCUAGUGUAGCGGUGAAAUGCGUAGAUAUUAGGAGGAACACCAGUGGCGAAGGCGGCUUUCUGGACAAUAACUGACGUUGAGGCACGAAAGUGUGGGGAGCAAACAGGAUUAGAUACCCCUGUAC